CUAGGAAGACCCGCCCCCUACUCUAUCUCCGAUUGGCUAACCCUAUCCCUAACCCUAACCUUAACCUUAACGGAGGCGACGAGUACUAGCCAAUCAGAGGCAGAGUUCGCGGAAAACGGGUACGAGUACUGGCCAAUCAGAGACAGAGUGCCCAGAAAAGCAGUGGGUUUCAUAGUAACGCGGACUGCGCUGAGCGCAGCCCGGGCGGCGCAUUUACGAAUCCCUACUAUGGCUGCGCCACUAAGGUGGUUUGUCCAAUUUGCACCAAAGAAUUCCCACAUGAUGAGAUCACAGUCCAUGCUAGCCUAUGUAGAGAGAGCUUUGAAUGUACAGUGACUUCUGCACCAAAUGACAAUAGUCCAAACUCCAGCAUCCAAACCAAAAAGUGUGGAGGAUGUGCUGCUCUUCGUUAAACACCAAAUUGACACCACAACAGAGUUUAAACUGUGUGUGGACAGAGAAGGCCUUCUUGACAGGGGCAUUCUCCAAUGGAAAAGGAAAAAAACUAUAGAGCUAUAUAGGAGAGGCAAGCAUUGAUACAGCAGCACUUAGAAAAGAGUUUCUGACUGAAAUGAUUGCGGGUAUUGAAAACAGAUUCUUCGAAGGAGCUGGGAACCAGGGUAAAAAUCCCAAGUACUCUUUGACAGACCUUGAUAAUGAGAAUUUCAGAACUAUUGGUGAAAUAAUGGCAGUCAGCCUUGCACAAGGUGGCCCACCUCCUGCUGUUUUGAAAGAGUAGUGCUACAACUUCCUCUGCACAGGAGAGAUUGACUUUCAUUCGCUGUCUAAGGAGGAUGUGGCUGAUCUAGAAUCAUGUCUACUCAUCAGCAGGGUCGAAAAUUCUGCAGAUAUCCAAUCUCUGACGAUGUACGCUGAUGAAAUUGUCAGCUGUGGAUACACCAGCCAGAUCAACCUGGACAGCAAGGAAAGCAUCCUUCGAGCAAUUGUCCUGCAUUCUACAACAAGACUGAUUCCAAUGCUGCAGCAACUUAGAAAGGGCAUGGAACUGUAUGGCCUGGUGGGCCAGAUGGCUUCAAACCCUGCAGCUUGCCACUCCCUGGUUGUUCCUGGGAAGAUCACCAAACCUGAUGCUGAUUUCAUAAUGAUGAACUGCCAGCCCCAUUUCAGUGAAAAGGGGACAUCUAAGGAGAGAGCUGAGAGGAAGAUGAUCAACUUCCUCCCAAGAUUUCUUAGAAGAGCUUGAAAUGCCAGAUGGGGAGACAUACAGUGCAGCUGGCGACACAGAACCUCUUGCAGUGCCACAUGUGCUCCAGUGGAUGACAGGCCAAUCCCACAUCCCCAUCCUCCCUGAUGAAAAGAGACAUUUCAAAAUAACAUGCAACUUUGACCAUGAAUGCAGGGAAAGGCUUGGAGACCACUCGGUUUGUUAUCCAAUAGUGAGUGCAUGCACUCAGACUGUGACUUUUUCAAUACAGCAUCUUGGCACUUACACCGACUUUAGAAGAGUCAUGAGUGAAGCAGUGCGAUAUGGUGGUGGAUUCCAGAGUUUAACAGCUCUAGCUUUACUCAAAACAAGAAGUGGUUAAUAUGCCAAUGGCUGUUCUAUCUGAAAAACAGACAAGAGUUAUUGAGUUUUGUUAUUCAUCAUUUAUUUGUUGUUCAUAAUUUUCAAUACCUCAUACAGGAUCUUUUACUUGAAUUAGUUGGGGAAAAGCUUCAGAAUGUCUGUAAAACAAGGUUCCUGUAACCAGCUAAUGUGUCUGUUCAUGUUCUAAUGUCAGACACCUUGUGCAAGAAUUGUAUGUACAAGUCACGACCGUGUGACUGAGGAUGUUCCAGAGGAUCAAUACUUCUCUGAAGUUCCUCCAGGGCUCCGUCAUCCAGUGGGCAUGCAAUUUCAGGAACCACAACCGCUCCAUUAGAGUCCUCUUGCAGUACGGCACUCUCCCAGUCAAUGCCUGGGUCUUGAAGUUCCUACAGAUCCAAAAAGAAAAAAAAAACCAACGAGUCAAGACUGUUCUUAAAAUAUUGCGCUGCUGUGUGUAUUUCUUUUAUAAAAAUAAACAAAACUG